rnacentral:sRNA from 2 species
CCUAUCUACCACUGCCAAUCUACCUACCACUGCUAAUCUAUGCCGCUGCCAACCUAUCUAUCGCUGCUAAUCUAUCGCUGCUGCCAACCUAUCUACCGCUGCCAACCUACCUAUCGCUGCCAAUCUAUCUACCACUGCUAAUCUAUCGCUGCUAAUCUAUCGCUGCUAAUCUAUUGCUGCUAAUCUAUCUAUCACUGCUAAUCUAUCGCUGCCAACCUACCUACCGCUGCCAACCUAUCUACCACUGCCAAUCUACCUACCGCUGCCAACCUACCUACCACUGCUAAUCUAUCACUGCUAAUCUAUCGCUGCUAAUCUAUUGCUGCUAAUCUAUCGCUGCUAAUCUAUUGCUGCUAAUCUAUCUAUCACUGCUAAUCUAUCGCUGCCAACCUACCUACCGCUGCCAACCUACCUACCGCUGCCAACCUACCUACCACUGCUAAUCUAUCACUGCUAAUCUAUCGCUGCCAACCUAUAUAGGGUAAAUCAUGGUCCCAUUUGGUCCCAUUUUGUAAAAUGGGACCAAAUGGGACUGGGACCACUAAUUUAUUAGUAAAACAUGAUCUGGGACUAGAUUUAUAAUAUAAACAGUGUAAAGUGACUAAUUUACUAAACACUAUAUGGGACCAGGACUAAGAUAUCUAAUAAUGGGACUGAGGAAAAAUUUGGUCCCAGUCCCAUGCAUGGUCACACAGCCAGUCUAUCAGUGCUC